CAGAAUGGGAGAAACUCUUUGCCACCUUCUCCUCAGAUAGAACGUUAAUAUCCAGGAUACACAAAGAACUCAAGAAAAUUAACACCAAUAAAUAAAUAAUCAAUCAAUAAAUGGUCAAAGGAACUAAACAGACACUUAUCAAAAAAAAAAAAAAAAAAAAGAAAUACAAAUGGUCACCAAGUGUAUGAAAAAAAGUUUAACAUCUUUAACAAUUAGAGAAAUGCCAAUUAAAACCUACAUUGAGAUUUCAUCUCUCACCAGUCAGAAUGACAGUUGUCAAAAACACAAGGAACAAUAAAAUUUUAGCAAGGAUAUGGGGAAAAGUCUACACUCAUACACUGCUGGUGGGAUUGCAAAUUGGUGUAACCACUCUUGAAAGCAAUAUGGAAUCAUACGAAAAAUUAGAAAUGGAACAUCCAUCUGACACAGCUAUCCCACUCUUUGGUAUAUAUUCAAAAGAUUAAAAAUUAGCAUACUACAGUGAUGCAGCCACAUCAAUGUUUAUAGCAGCACAAUUCACAGUAACCAAGGUAUAGAGCCAACCUAGAUGCCCAUCUACAGGUAAAUGGAUAAAGAAAAUGUAGUAUGUAUACACAAUGGAAUAUUACUUAGCCAUAAAGAUGAAUCACUUAAUGGCAUUUGCUGGUAAAUGGAUGGAACUAGAGACUAUCAUGCUAAGUGAAAUAAACCAGUUGCCCAAAGUGAAAGGUCAAUGUUUUCUUUGCUACUCAGAAACUAACCCAAAAUAAGGGGUAGGGCAAUUAAAAAAAAAAAAAGUUCAAGAAAGAUCAGUGGAGUAGAGAAAGGGGGAUGAAGGUAAGAGAGGAGGGAUGGGAUAGGGAAAGAGUUGAAUAAAUCUGACCUUAUUUUAUAAUGUACAUAUGUGAAUAUACCACAGUGAUUCUCACCUUCAUGCGCAUGAUAAGACACUAACUAGAAAACACAUUAUAAGUGAAUAAUAGAAGGAUCAGUAGAAUAGAAGGAACGGAACAGGAGGAGGAAGGAGGAGAAGAAAAGGGGAAGUACUGCCGCUGAAUUAGCACAAAUUAUAUCCCCUCGUUUUAUAAUUAUGUCAAAGUGAAUCCUAUCAUUAUGUAUAACUAAAAAGAUAAUAAAAAUAAAGUUUAAAAGAUUUAAGUAUUAGACAUCAGAACAAAAAAACACAGUAAUGCUUCAAGGAAUGGAGGGAGAUGCUAUUUAUCAAGAGAGGGAACAUACCAACUGCCGCAGUCUGGCUGGGCACACAAUCACGAGCCACCACACAGCUUGUAGAUUCAAACAGCAACUCUUUAUUCCCGAACUCACACCAGCCGUCUGCAAUCACGUUCUGGGGAAAUCCACAUUCUCUGCCCAAAUCCACCCCCACUGGGCUUCUGUCUCCCAAAAAAUACUGUCUGAAUCCCGUGAAAACUCAAGGGGAACUCAGGCAGCAGGAUACGCCCUAUUCCCAGCAGGAAUAACCUUAAACCUGGAGCCACACUAAACCCGGAUUAUCCUAAACCUGGAACGCCCUAAACCCGGAUCCGCCCUGGUCCUUGAGCAAGGUCACUGCAAAAUGUCCUAUUUCCACGAGUCCUUCCAAUAAGCAACAUGGGGUAUGCUGGCAAGGAAAUUGUCAUACCUACUUGGCUAAUGGCUCCCAGCAACCAACAAUGAGAUGGAUUUGCAAAAGAGGAUCAUAAGAGUCAAUCUCUAAGUAUAUUGAAUUUGAGAGACUUUUGAAACCUGCAAAAGAAGAUUUCAUACAGGCAGUUGAAUUCUUCAGUCUCAACAUAAAAUUCUAAGAAUAAGUCAUAAUUCUUUGCAGAACAGAGUUCUUAGAUGAGAUUAAUAAGAACUUUUUCAGAGAGAAUGUUGACACAAUACCCAACUUAUAUUGUUCUAAGGAAUGACAGAUGGAUGAGAAAAUGUAGCCUAAAAAUAAGGAAACCUAAGGAGAAUUGAAAAAUUGAUGAGGGGCAAUGGUGGGUAUGAUGUUGAAAUUACUGUGUACAUGUAGAUUAAAUUGAUGAGAUUGAGUGAUGGUGUUGCAGUGCAUAAUACUAAGAGGUUAAUAUUUG
rnacentral:lncRNA from 1 species